GGAGGGUUGGCCGAGUGGUUAUGGCGGUGCAUUCAAGUUAACAGCUUGCUCAGACGAUGAGUCGCACUUCGAAAGAGCAAGGGUUCGAAUCCCUUACCCUUCA
rfam:Kwoniella mangroviensis CBS 10435 unplaced genomic scaffold supercont2.5, whole genome shotgun sequence.